GUGCCGGAGAUAGUAUUCCA
rnacentral:miRNA from 1 species